UCCACCUUCCAAAUCGCAAGGCGUUUGUUAAGAAAAUUAUCGAGAUUUUCAUAGUCUCUACUGCCGAAGUCUCCGGCAUUCAAGAAACGGAAAACCUGAUGACAUCCGAGAGAAAAACCGACGUCGAAGAAACGGAAAACCUGAUGACGUCCGAGAGAAAAACCGACGUCGAAGAAACGGAAAACCUGAUGAUGACAUCCGAGAGAAAAACCGACGUCGAAGAAACGGAAAACCUGAUGACAUCCGAGAGAAAAUCCGACGUCGAAGAAGAAACGGAAAACCCGAUAUCGGGGGAUCAAUCGUCCAAGAUGAAAGAGACGAAGAAGAAAGGUAGCAUGGGGUCUGAUAAUGAUGAAUCUGUCAUCUGCCAU
rnacentral:lncRNA from 1 species